GUGUGAAUUGCAGAAUCCCGUGAACCAUCGAGUUUUUGAACGCAAGUUGCGCCCGAAGCCAUUCGGCUGAGGGCACGUCUGCCUGGGCGUCACGC
rnacentral:rRNA from 2 species